AAUGUAUUGCUGCCUACCAACACUUCUAGGUGCAGCCACUCAAACAGCCACAAGAGUGUGCAGCACUGGCAUUUAGCAUCCCCACCCUCUGCAUGGAGAUGCUGAACAUUCCCCAUAGAGAUGCAAUGAUUUAAUGCAUCUCUGUGAGGAGAUGUUGUUUGGUGCAGCGCAGUGUUUUGCUGUGUGUGCGCAAUAGCCUUCCUAUGCUUUCCUAUGGGAGAGACUGGC